CUCUCGUUUGUUUCUCCUGCUGUUUUUGGCUGCAUAGUCCUGUGCUUCAACAAAUUGUUGAAGUAUGGACUCAGUCCUAAAAACACUUGCCCCUGGGACUCCUGCAGUAAUCACUUCAAAGGGUCAAAUCCUCAGUGACCUGCUAAGUCCUGGACAUGUAAAGGGCUCAGUGCAGAAUCUCUUGGUCUGUGGAUCCUGGUGAACCAUGCUGGCAUUUCGCCUUCAGAGAGGUGGAAUUUGCAAGUCUAGACAACUACAAGAAUGUGGCAGAGAUCAACCUGUGGAGCACCAUAAGAAUGACAAAUUCUUUCCUGCCUUCAUUCCCAGAGCUAAAGAUCAUCAGUACAUGGAGGUUGCCUGGGAUCCAGAACCCAGAAUGAUUUCACUGAACUGCAGUUUAUGCAGUGUUGUAAUGAUUUCUGCCCCCUGCACUGUGAAAUAGGGAAGAAAUCUCAGUUGCAUUUGACAGUAAUCUUCAAAGCUGGAGGAUGGAGGAGCCAGAAGGAAGUUCAGUGAAAUCCCCUGGAAGUCCAUGCUCAUGGCUGCUGUGGUAUCCUACAAGGAGUUAGACUGCCAAAGGUGCUUAUGACUUUUUGUUGUUGUUUCCCCCAUCAAGGGCCAGCUGCUGAGGCUGUGGCAGUGUCCUGCUUUUUUCUGCAUGUUUCUCACAAAACUUUGGAAGACAGCAAUAAUCCAGGUCCUUGGUGCAUCCUUUAGCCUUUGUAAAGU
rnacentral:lncRNA from 1 species